rnacentral:misc_RNA from 1 species
GUUUUACAGUACCUGUCGGUCCUAGUCCUCUUUUGCAGGAGAAAGGGAAGCAGGAAAAUAUGGAGGAGAAUAAUAAAGGUUGCGGGUUUGAUAUUUUGGACAUUGGAUGUUCAGGGAUAAAUGAGGUUGUCAUAACACCAAAUCAACAAAAGAUGAAAUGGAAGCAUUUAAGCACUCUGCCCUGUGGAUUACCUGUGUGGUUUGAAAAUAACAGAAGAAAGAAGAUGGAAGAAUAUUUAUGUGAAGCAGACAAACUCAAGAUACAUGCCUUUAAUAAUACCCAAGGCUUUUGGCCUCGUGAAAAAGAAAUUGAGAAUGCAAUGGUAGCUGAAUUAUGUGCUGUUCAAACAUCAAUAAAAGUUGAACGCAAUCCAAAAACAGGAAAACUGAGAGGCUUCAAUGAGGUUUUCAGUUUGGAAUCAAGCAGUUCAGGGAGUAGCUCCAUGGCCUUGAACAGGCAGCCCUGUGCGUUAUCUGAACCAAUCAAAGGAAAAUCAACGAACUUUCCAUUUUUUCCUGGUGGUAUGGAUCACCUAGAAACUAAAAGGAUAGAGGAAGACUCAGCAGAGUUGAAUUUUGUCACAGGGUUGCUAGACACUCCUCCAGGCUUCGACGGUCACAUCAAAUUUGAUGAUGACAAAAGCAGAACAGCACCAGGUGAAGUGCAAGAUUUUAUAGUUUCUGAUGUUCAGUCAUAUACAGAUCUGGAGGAUCUAGAGUAUAGCGACCACGAUAACAGUGAUGAUGAAUGUGAUGAUAAGCAAACUGUGGACGAAAAAGAGGAAAAAGAAGAUUUAGGUUUGGCGUCUGAAAAGACAGCUGAGCCUGAGCAAGAGAAGGAGAAGAAGGAGAAGUGGGCAUUCAUGAUUGAUGUAUCCAAGCCAGUGGUUGAUUUUCAUAAAAAAGUACUUAACAUGGCACAUAAGUGGGACUUUGAACCAGAUACGUUCCAGAAGCAAGCCAUUGUAAAACUGGAGUCGCAUGACAGUGUAUUUGUUGCUGCACAUACAUCUGCUGGCAAGACUGCAGUGGCAGAAUACGCCAUCGGCCUAGCAAACAGACACAAAACCAAGACAAUCUAUACCUCGCCCAUCAAAGCUCUUUCCAAUCAGAAGUUCCGUGAUUUCAAGAAGAAUUUAGUGCCAUCUCACCCAGAACUUGAUAUUGGUCUGAUCACGGGAGAUGUACAAAUCAAACCUGAAGCUGCCUGCCUAAUUAUGACCACGGAGAUAUUACGUUCAAUGCUAUACAAUGGAUCAGACGUUAUACGCGAUGUAGAAUGGGUAAUAUUUGAUGAAGUUCACUACAUCAACGACCCAGAGAGAGGAGUGGUAUGGGAAGAGGUAAUUAUCAUGUUACCUGAUCACGUGAGUAUCAUUUUACUCUCAGCGACGGUGCCAAACACUUUGGAGUUCGCCGACUGGAUUGGGCGUACAAAGCGCAAGAAGAUCUAUGUGAUCAGUACUCCCAAACGACCUGUUCCUUUAGAACAUUUCUUAUAUACUGGCAAUAGCAACAAAACAAGCUCGGAGAUGUUCGUCUUGCUCGACCAGAACAAUGUUUUUCAAACACGGGGUUAUCAAAUGGCCGCUGAUUCAAUAAAAGAACGCUCGUCCAAAGGAAAAGAGAUGAGUGGUGCAAAGGGAGGAAGAAGUCAUAUGAAUCUUAAAUCUGAGAAAAAUAUCUGGCUAUCCUUGGUCACGAUGCUGGAGAAGAAGGAAAAGCUACCGGUCGUAGCGUUCACGUUUUCUAGGAAAAAAUGUGAUGAUAAUGCGGAUCAGUUAGGUAAUUUGAACCUGAUAACAUCUCUAGAAAGAAGUAAAACCCAAGUUCUAAUGCAAAAGUAUCUCGCAAAGCUGAAGGGAGGAGAUAGGACGCUACCACAGGUUGUAAGAAUGCAAGAACUUCUGAAGCGUGGUAUUGGAGUGCACCACAGUGGCAUAUUACCAAUCCUAAAAGAGGUCAUUGAAAUUCUCUUUCAAGAAGGCCUUGUAAAACUUCUGUUUGCCACAGAGACUUUCGCCAUGGGGGUUAACAUGCCCGCGCGAACCGUCGUUUUCGACUCUAUUAGAAAACAUGACGGAUCUUCUUUUAGGAAUUUGCUACCUGGUGAGUAUGUUCAAAUGGCUGGUAGAGCAGGACGUCGUGGUAAGGACAUCACUGGCACCGUUAUUAUACUGUGUAAAGGAGACGUCCCUGAGAUGGCUGAACUGUAUUCAAUGAUGCUAGGUAAGCCUAUUUCACUCCACUCACAAUUUCGCUUAACGUACUCCAUGAUUCUAAAUCUUCUCCGGGUGGAGCAGCUCAGAGUUCAGGAAAUGAUGAAAAGGAGCUUCGCAGAAUUUAAUGCUCAUCGUGACGCAGAAACAAUUAAACACGAGGCUGAGAAAUUGGAGGCAAAGCUAUCGAAGAUAGAGAGUGUGGACUGCUUACUUUGUAACAAGGAUCUAAUGAGUUACCACCAAGCCUUGAGUGAACUUACCGUACUGAGGGAACAAAUCAAGGUGGCAGUUCUUUCAACUUCAUUUGCACAAAAAGCCCUGUUACCUGGUCGUAUCAUUACCCUAGAGACUCAUAACAAUCAAAAAGCACUAGCAAUUGUGCUUCAAGUUGAAUCCGACGGAUCUGGUAAAAAGCUCGUGGAUAAGUCGCUUACUGUACUCUCUAUUCUCGACAAUGGUACUGCAGGAGAUGCACUCAAAUCUAUUAAAUCCAUUAAAGAUGAAAAUCAUUUGGAACCACAUGUGAAGACAAAACUUCUUCUACCUGAAGGACCUUCCACCUACGACAUAUUUCAAAUUAGUGUGAUGGAUGUUUGUGACAUAACGACAAGUAAGAUGAAGAUUGAAGGCGAUAGAAUUAUACAGGAUCACAGAAAGAGAAUGCAGCCACGGUUUAGUAACGAUCCCCCUUCUCGUUCAACGGUUAUCGUACGGCAGGAACUUCUUCGUUUGAUAGAAGCCAACCCUGAAGGCCUCGAAGUAAUGGAUCCAAUUAAAGACUUCAACAUUCGCGACCUUGACUUGGUGGAUGUCCUUACUCGAAAGUGUUUUCUGGAAGAUUUACUGGGUACAUUCGUCUGCACCACAUGCCCAAAGCUGAAACAACAUGUACGUAUGUUAAUAGCCACUGAAGUGCACCCAAGUUCUCUCUUGUGCGAAACGAAAUUACUCUCAGAGAAAAUCUGAACCACUUACAGUUUCUGCUGUCAGAUGACAGUCUGCAACUUAUUAAAGAGUACAAUCAAAGAAUAGAGGUUCUGAAAAAACUUCGAUAUUUGGACACAAACAAUCGGGUACAAUUGAAAGGUCGCGUCGCUUGUGAAA